rnacentral:tRNA from 1 species
GCUUUCGUGGUGUAGUGGUCAGCACUCUCGGUGCAUAUUCGAGAGGUCCAUGGUUCGAGUCCUGGCAAGGCA